rnacentral:rRNA from 1 species
CCCUGAGUAGCGGCGAGCGAAACGGGAAGAGCCCAAACCAACAAGCUUGCUUGUUGGGGUUGUAGGACACUCUGUACGGAGUUACAAAGGAAUACGUUAGACGAAUAACCUGGAAAGGUUAAUCAUAGAAGGUAAUAAUCCUGUAGUCGAAAACGUAUACCCUCCUGAGUGGAUCCUGAGUACGGCGGAGCACGUGAAAUUCCGUCGGAAUCUGGGAGGACC